UACGUAGGUGGCAAGCGUUGUCCGGAAUUAUUGGGCGUAAAGCGCGCGCAGGCGGUCCUUUUAAGUCUGAUGUGAAAGCCCACGGCUCAACCGUGGAGGGUCAUUGGAAACUGGGGGACUUGAGUGCAGGAGAGAAGAGUGGAAUUCCACGUGUAGCGGUGAAAUGCGUAGAGAUGUGGAGGAACACCAGUGGCGAAGGCGACUCUUUGGCCUGUAAC
rnacentral:rRNA from 1 species